rnacentral:lncRNA from 1 species
GGUUGUUGUGCAGAGCAAAGGGUGGACGGCGAGUGCGGCACGGACGGUAGUAAGGCAGAGCCAUGGCAGGUGCUUUGUAAGGAGAGAGGGAGGCGGCCAUGGCAGCGGGGCGGAACGGGUGUAGGGUCCACAAUGGAUGGUGUGGAGGACGGCAAUGGGAUGGGGUCACAGAUGCUGCACCGGAGAGGGGUGGGUGCGGAUCGGCCGUCGGUAGAGGA